AUGCACGCUGGCGGCGUGCCUAAUCCAUGCCAGUCGAGCGAACAGACGAGGAGCUUGCUCCUCUGACGUUAGCGGCGGCCGGGUGAGUAACACGUGGAUAACCUACCUAUAAGACUGGGAUAACUUCGGGAAACCGGAGCUAAUACCGGAUAAUAUAUUGAACCGCCUGGUUCAAUAGUGAAAGACGGUUUUGCUGUCACUUAUAGAUGGAUCCGCGCCGCAUUAGCUAGUUGGUAAGGUAACGGCUUACCAAGGCGACGAUGCGUAGCCGACCUGAGAGGGUGAUCGGCCACACUGGAACUGAGACACGGUCCAGACUCCUACGGGAGGCAGCAGUAGGGAAUCUUCCGCAAUGGGCGAAAGCCUGACGGAGCAACGCCGCGUGAGUGAUGAAGGUCUUCGGAUCGUAAAACUCUGUUAUUAGGGAAGAACAAAUGUGUAAGUAACUAUGCACGUCUUGACGGUACCUAAUCAGAAAGCCACGGCUAACUACGUG
rnacentral:rRNA from 1 species